rnacentral:rRNA from 1 species
UACGUAGGGGGCAAGCGUUGGUCCGGAAUCAUUGGGCGUAAAGCGCGUGUAGGCGGCCCGAUAAGUCCGCUGUGAAAGUCCAGGGCUCAACCCUGGGAUGCCGGUGGAUACUGUCGGGCUCGAGUCCGGAAGAGGAGAGUGGAAUUCCUGGUGUAGCGGUGAAAUGCGCAGAGUAUCAGGAAGAACACCCGUGGCUAAGGCGGCUCUCUAGUACGGUACUGACGCUGAGACGCGAAAGCGUGGGGAGCAAACAGG